rnacentral:rRNA from 1 species
UACGUAGGGUGCGAGCGUUGUCCGGAAUUAUUGGGCGUAAAGGGCUCGUAGGCGGUCUGUUGCGUCGGGAGUGAAAACUCAGGGCUUAACCCUGAGCCUGCUUCCGAUACGGGCAGACUAGAGGUAUGCAGGGGAGAACGGAAUUCCAGGUGUAGCGGUGAAAUGCGUAGAUAUCUGGAGGAAUACCGGUGGCGAAGGCGGCAUCCUGGAC